CACCGCCCGUCACGCCAUGGAAGUUGGGAGUGCCUGAAGUUCGUGAGCCAACCCGCAAGGGAGGCAGCGGCCGAAGGCAAGUUCAAUGACUGGGGCG
rnacentral:rRNA from 1 species